rnacentral:rRNA from 1 species
UACGUAGGGGGCUAGCGUUGUCCGGAAUCAUUGGGCGUAAAGCGCGUGUAGGCGGUCCGGUAAGUCCGCUGUGAAAGUCGGGGGCUCAACCCUCGGAUGCCGGUGGAUACUGUCGGGCUUGAGUACGGAAGAGGCGAGUGGAAUUCCUGGUGUAGCGGUGGAAUGGCGCAGAUAGUCAGGAGGAACACCGAUGGCGAAGGCAGCUCGCUGGGACGGUACUGACGCUGAGGUGCGAAAGCGUGGGGAGCAAACAGG